rnacentral:misc_RNA from 1 species
CUUGCAUACUCUUGUACUUUAAUUUCAUGUUAUUCUAAUCAUCAUGAAAUUAAAGUACAAGAGUAUGCAAGCCACUGCUUUUACUAUAAUUUUUUUUAAUUAAUCACAUGGCUGAAUACCACUUGAAUAACAAAACAGGCUUAGUACACGAUUCAAUAAAGGAUUCAGAAACAAAAUUGGUGAAAAAACCAACCAUAACAAAUAUUCAACCAACAUUGUAAAGGUUAAUACUGAUGGCUCGAGACAAUUCCAGUAAACAAAAUAAAGCAGAAAUUGCAAAAUGCAGUCCAACAUCAAGACUUUGAAAUGCUGAUUGAAUGUAUCAAAAUUCCUACUUCUUUUCUUCUUUC